CCACCCUUGGCCAGCACAGCGCUGCAGGCUUGAAUACUGGCACUUCCAGUUCCAUGUUUAUCUUUGGACACAGAAGGAAAAAUGUCACUGGAAGACUCAGCAAUAUUGCAAGUUUAAGAGUAUUGUAAGUGCCUGGUGGAACAACUUGAGAAGCAAAGAUGUUGGCCAGGACAGCACUAAACCUCCAGCGUGAACUUGAAGUCAGUGAGAGCAGAUACUUAAAAUUGUCACUGACAAAAGAAGGACCUAAUGGAAACAAAGUACAGGUGAACAAACACAUUAAAGAAACCUGUGCAGGUAAGUUAGAACAAAUCACCAUUGAAUUCUUGAUACAAAAGCUUACCAAGAACAAGUAUAUCUUUAUAUUAAGCACAAAUUCAGAAUUUAAGCAUCUGACACUGUUAAUUUUGCUUGUAAAAAGGUAGCAGACAUGAUCUGUUAGAAUUGAUUGCAACAAGAAAGGGAAAACAAACUGGAAUAUCAGGUUCAUUUUAUAUGAUUACAACGUACUUUCCAAUGGAUAGGAGAAGAUGGAAAGAGAAGUUGAAGAACUACUACAUAAUUAGGGAGUUUGCCAAUGUAUGGAAAGCGGGCAAAAGCAGAUAUUCUCAAAUAACAGCAAGUACACAUUUCAGACUGUAAGAGGAAAGUCCCUGAGUGGUUUUAUAUUCUGGACCUCUAGAUAAUAAAAAACACUGCUAAUUCUCAAGAGUUUUUUCUAGGAGGUUUUCCAAGGUUUAAGUCAAUUUUAAUGGAACUUUCUUACCAUUUGGUUUAUAGAGCUGUACACUAUUGACUUCUAUACAUGCAGUCAUUUGUAGGCCGUUUUGUACACAAGCUGGAAUUCCUAUAAUCCUGUAGUGGUUUCCUAUUAUCAUUUUAUUGGCCAGUUCAUCUGCAAAUAAUAAAAAACUAAGUGCAGGGGGCAAAGCUACAGAUAUGUUAGGGCAUAGAAACAGUUUUAAAGACAUGGUCAGAAAACUUCUACACAUUCUGAACGUUUGAUUUUAUGUUUUAACAUUGGCAGAAAACAGCUGGAGGCCAGAUUAAUAAUGGACUAGAAUAAAAUGAAACAUACAAUUUUAAUUAUUUAGUGCAAAAGAUAAGGAAGGCACACCAGGUUAGGGAAAAUAAAUUUCAUGAUAAAGAAAAAUGACAAUGCAUUUAGUCCUGCAUUGAAAAGCAAAUGGAUAGUUUUUUGCAAGUAUAUUUCCUACUCUGAAGUUUGUGGCAUCACCAUUAUCAGUCACAAUAUCAUUAUAGGACAUAUGUCCUAUAAAAUGUCAGAGAAAAAACCCAAGACCAUAAAAAGGAGAUCCAAACUACACAGAUUUCAAAAAGACCCACAAAUAGCUUUGUGAACCUUUAUAUUUUUGUGCACCUUAAGAAACCAAAUCCCAUUUAUUUUUUGAAAAUGAGAAUUAGAUCCAACCAGAUCUCAAUCUCAGCCUGAGAAACACUGUAAGCACACUGAGCACUAGAGCCAGCAGAAAUUUACUGCAUGCAACUCUCAGUAUCUUGACCAUAGAUUGUUCUAUAAAUUUUUAUUAUAAUUUUACUACUACUCAUUCUUUCUAUUUAGUUUUCAAUAAAUGAACCAUAUAAUUCCAUAGACUUUUGAAAUGGAUGAGGAUUUUUUGUUGCUUGUCUCCGUGUUUGUUUGGGGGUCUUAAGAAUUAAUGGAAGUACAUUGCUGAGUUGUGAUUUUAGUUAUGUAUUAACAUUAGAAAUCAUUUAAUGUUUGUGGUGGAUGGCAGUGGUAGUAGAAGCCAAAAAUCCUGAUGGAAUGUGGAAAACAGCUAGAUUGAGGAAGGAUGUUAAAUAUACAUGAAGUUAGUACAGAACAGCAUGACCAAAGGAAGUAGAAAGGAGGAAAAAACAGGCAACAGUUAGAAUAAUACACUGCUGAGCUGGCCAGGGGAUUUUAAUUAAAUGGAGGUGUAAAGGUAACACAAGAAUUUUUCUAUGUACGCUCCGCAAUCACCUGUGCACACUGCUUUGUCACCUAGCUAUUUUUUAUAAUUAAUUAAUUUAUAAUUAAGGGGAGUAGCACAGAAAGAACUGCAAUGUAAAUAAUGACUUUCACCAUUUUAGAAAAAGAAAAAAAAAUAGAGCUACACUUGCAAGGUAUUAUUAUAGAUGAAUUCUAAAACAUUUUGACAGAACUCUGAAGUUCAGCUUACCUCUCAAGAACAAUGUAAAUGCCUGAAUCCUAAAGUGUGAUUUAUCAAUGGAAUAUCCUUUCAAAGCAUUCAGAAUUUUAGCAUCAAUCAUUUCAACUAUUUGUUUAUCUUUCAAAACAAAGGCAAAGAAAAAGGUUAAUUCUCUUGAAAACAUCUCUUUUAAAAAAGACUGGUGUAUUUUAAGUGGGCUUUUCCCACUUAAAUAUUUUGUUUGCUUGUUGUAUAACAGAAGGAGGAAACUACCAGAUCUAGAAGUAAGAUUACAUAGAUCCUACCACCAAGUACUCUAAAUUUCAUGUCUUCCUGCAGUGGUGAAGAACACAAGCUACACACAAAAUCAGUCCUCACUGUAGCAGACUCUGUAGCUCCAGGACAAUGCACUCUGAUGCACCUAAACCCUAAAAAAAAAGGCAACAAUUUACCAACCAUUUAAAAGGAGGGCAUAGCUUUAGCUUUAGAUUUCCCAUGAAGAACAGAAGCAAUUAAAAUACUGGACAGUGAAAUUCUACAUUUAUUACUUGUUUCUUCAGAUGAGCCUCCCUUACAUAUGCCACUAAAAUAACCCAUCUAAUUUACUGUGUUUGGCCACGAGAUGGCAGCUUCCCACUGCACAUUCCCAAGAUGAACAGCUUGGCAGGCCUUUCUUGAGGAGUGAGCCACUUCUGCCUGGCGUGGGAAUGACAUAUGGAUAGUCACUAUGAGAGAAGAAGCAAAAAAACAGCCUUAAAAGUAGCGCCUUAGGGCCUCUCUCUGCAAUGGGGCAAGCAGCUCAGUAAUGCUACUCAAAGCAGUCUUUCCACAGAAGCCGGCUACUCAUCAAAGCACCACUUGUUCUAUGCCAGAAGCUUUUGCUUGUUCUGUGGUAUUUUUUUAUAGACAAACAGUUUCCAAGGAAAAAGGUAUGUUGCUAGUUUAGCUUACUUACUUUUGAGAUAUUUUAUUGCUAUUUAAGAUAUUUAAAUAUUAAGUUAUUUAAGAUAUUAAAUAUAUUGAAGUUCUACACGUGACUUAUGUUUUCUCCUAUAAACUAUCUUCAGCAUAAGGAAAAGGGACUGCUGGCAUAGCUGUUCUUCCAAAACAUUUAAUAAUGCUGAGCAAGUCCACUGCUUUCAAUUAACACAAAUCCUGCUCUGUUCAUUACAAAAAUGUAUGCAUAAUAAAACUGUAUAGGAAAAUACCUUUGUUAGGCUAGGUUUUUAAUGUCUUAUUACCAAAUUUAUUUAAAAGCUUUUGAAAUACUACUGAUUAAUUUUUAUAUUUCUUACUACCUUCAGAGAAUGGACAGGUUUCCU